UGGUCGCUGCUGCUGCCUGCGAGCUGAACGAAGCAUCGGCUCCAGCACGGCGUGGUUCUUCUCCAGAAGAGUGGCCGGGUGAUGGAAUGGGCUGCCCAGGGAAGGGGAGUCACCGACCCUGGAAGUGUUCAGGAAACGUUUAGGUGUUGUACUGAGGGACGUGGGUUAGUGGGAAAUACUGGUGGUAGAUGGACUGGAUGAUCUCGGAGGUCUUUUCCAACCCUGGUGAUUCUAUGACUCUAAGGGGAAUGAAGGAAAUUGGGCUGCAGGUGGGGAUAAGCUGACAUACACCAGUAGCCUUCCUUUGGGAAGGCAGCAGGUGGUGAGAACAGCCUUGGUCUCAGUCUUCUAAAUGCCUUCGUGGGCUUGGGCCCUGAAUCCUGCCAGCACCCAAGCCUGGCAGCUGAGAUCCCACAGUCCCUCAGGUUACACCUGAGCAGCAGUUUGGUUCCAGCCCCACACGGGGCUCCAGCUUGCACCUGAGCUCUGCCAAAAGAGCACGUGGCAGCUGCUGGCUGUGCCCAAGGGCUGAUGGCCUGGGGGGGCACCUCCUCCUCAGUAACAGCAGGUGAAGCAGGCACUGGGAUACUGAGGAAUCUCAUUUUAAAACUCCCACCUGCUGAUGAGCACCUGAGCCCUCUCCCUGUGCACCUCUCAACACCAGCAACUGGAUCUUCGUGCUCUCUCCUUGCUUGUGUUUUCACAGGAAGUCUUAAUGUUCAACCUCAUGUUCUCACAUCUCCAUAUUCCUCCUUCAGACAGACUGCGAGGAAGGCAAUCUGCUCGUGAAGGGCUACUUAAGCUCUCUUUUGCAUACCAGUAACCACUAAGCACUUCAGACAAAGUGCCAUUGCUUUGAUAGUGAGGAGGAGGAAGCCCUGGGCGGAGGCCAGGGCAGAAGGAGUCCCUGAGAGCAGCAGGUUCAGACCUCCGUGGGCUGAGCAGCCUUGCACAGGUGCCCCCUACUCUGAAGGGAAAGCUAGCCAUUAAGCAGCUCAGUGCUGCAAUGCGUCCCUGAGGUUUUCCCUCGUGGCCACCUGGAAGCACCCGACUCCAGCAGGUCCCUAUGGAGUCCACCUCUUUGCAAGCCUGAAAUGUUUCCUCAGCCACCUGCGCCCACACUCAGUUCUCUCCAUCAUCAAGGGUGUGUGGUGAAUGUUAGAGGGCAACAGGAGCUCUGAAAGCAGCAGCUCUCAGCAAACACACUGCCCUUAUCCACCUCACCCUUGGCAAUUGUCCCCCAGACAAUCUCUGGGUGUGCCCACACAGCCUCAGCGCCGCUCUGCAGAGCCUCAGCUUGGUGCCGGCUCCACCAGCUGGUUCUGCUGAACCUGCCACCGCUUUGCCGUGCCCACAUCAAACCCACGCUGGGGCAGCGUCAGGACAGGGGCUCUCCUGUCUGCCUCCCUCCUCUGCUGCAGGGCUCCUGACGCAGACCUGCCUGUUUCUCUGGUCUCUGUCUCACCACGGGGCUGACUGAGCGCAAGGCCUGGCAGGAGGGUUAGGCUGACAGCAGACCUCCCGCUGCCAGGGGAUCCUGGGGAAGGUGGAACCCCUGGGCACCUCAUACUUACAGGGGGAUGAGAGACUACAAAAAGCCUUUCUACGGAGAGGGGUGAUGAGCACGCAGGAUGGGUAGCCUGGUGGUUGCCAUGUCCUGCACAACACCAGGCAGCCCUAAAAGUAGAGCCCUAUCUCCCAGCACCUUGUGCUGAGCAGUCCCACAGCCACCCCUCAGCCCCCGGCAGCUGCACAGGCUCUCCAGGCACCGUGGCAGAGGUGGGCAGCAGCCCUGGGGCUUGUUGCAAUCAUUAGCUGAAAGAAGCGCUUUUACCAUUUUCACGUGCAGAUCCAUAGGACACGGUGGCAGAGAUGACAAAAAGCUCACACCAGGCUCUGCGCAAAAGCUAUGCUGAAAACAUCCAAAAAUUCACCACCACCACCCAGAGCACCCAGCACUGCGAGGAUGCUCAGCCUUUGGGACACAUUACCCGCCUCUGGCAGGUGCCAGCUCCACCCCUCCCCAGGGCACCGCAGCCAGCUGAGCUGUGCCCGUAUGGCUGUCUGGCAGAGGCUCCUCCUGCUCUGCUGGUGGGAUUCAGGCAGGGGCACAGGGCUGUGCUGAGCCCAGCCAGCACACGUUUUACACAGUGCAGAAGGAAGGCAGGCCCAGGCAAUGGCAGGGGGAGCCCAAGUCUGUGAGCCUGGGCUGAUGCACUUAGUUUGUAGGCUUUCUUGAUUUGGGCAAUGAGUCCAUUUCAUAGCAAAGCCACUCAGACAUCAAGCUGCCUACCUAGGAAGGGGCUGUGUGAGGUUAAGACACCAUUGCUCUUCCUUCUGCUCUUGUCACUGAAGGCUGCAGGUCCCACCCGUCUCUGCUGCCAGCGAGGCUGGUGUGACUGGGCCCAUGACUGGGCCAGUGCCGGUGAUCCUGGACUGCUGGCAUCCCAGGAGCAGCCCCUGAUGGCUGUGCUCGAGGCACACUGCCUUUUCCCAGUGCCUCCAGAACAGCGAUCACCUGCAGAGCACCAACAGCACACAGCGUGUGAGCAGCGCAAGUCUGGAGCACCAGCCCCGUGCUCCCAGCUCCUUCCUGGGCUGCGGAACGGAGGGAAGAUCCAGAAAUUCCCCCAAUUCAAACGUAACAGUGCCCCAGCCGGCCAGCUCUGCCCCCUCACACCUCCAGCACCAGGACAGGCUGUGCAGGGCCAGCACGUGUGCAGCCACCUCCCGCACACUGCCUGCAGUGCCACGGCCACUGGAUUAGGGAUAUUAGUGGUACAUCCCCGCCUUAUCCUCUAAGUAGCCAUGUGUGCAGCUACUGCCCAUGAACUUGCCUAAUCCCUUUUUGACCCUGAAAGGUUCCCAAAGAUCACCGCUCCCAUGUGUUUUCCUAUACCUGCUUCCAUCUGUUCUCUCCCUACUUUAACCAAAUGCUCCAUCGGUGCUGCCUGAGCUGUAAGAACAACAGCAAUAGCCCACAGCCUGGUUUUCAAGCGCUGGCAUCAUGCUCAUUCCCAAACAUUACUCAUGAGUGCUGACAUCCAGGCUGGAACUGCAGCUCCAGGCAGGCAUGGCCGCGCUUUUUCACACACACAAAAAGACCAGGGACAACCAUGGAGAUCGUAUUUAUUAUUAUAACAGAGGAUAGGCUGCUUUACUGAUUCGUAUUUACAAAUCUGUCAGCAAAGAAAGUAAUAUCCAGUGUAAUUUAUUAGCCUAUUUUACAGCCCUGGCAAGAAGCAUUUAUUUGUAAUAGCAGCAAAUGCCUAUGCUCUGAUUGCCUGCUACAGCUAAGUGCAAGGGAUAGCAUGGAUGGCCGGGGUGGCAGCUGGCUGCAGGCACUGCAUCUGCAGCCCAGAGAAGGGGCAGGCAGAGGCAGCUGGCCCAGCCCUUGUGGGGCCGGGAUGCAUACCCUGAGCCUGAAAUUUUGGCAAAACACAGCAGAGCUGGUAACUGUCUGCCUGCAUUGCUGGGAAUGUGGCCGCACAUCCGGAGCAUGAGGAGGCUGGCAAUUCUGAGGCCAAAUAGAGCUGAACUGCUUGCAAGCACUGUGAGGGAUGAGCAUGUAAAGCAGAUCCUCACACAGCUGUGGUGUUUGCAGGCCCAGGCCUGACAAGGGAACAAGGUUUCCUGGAUCACAGAAGCACGGGGCACAAGGGGGACCACGACCCUUGGCUAACAUGAGCACAAACUGAACUGCCACUGCAGAGGUCUCUGAGCAGAGCUGUGCCCUGGAAACCCCACUCAGAGAGGUUCAAAUAGGCUCAGGGAAUUCUCUGUACAUGGUACCUCGUGCCCAAAUCCUUGGCUCAGACUCAGACAUCAACGUGAAACCUCCCUGCUGGGCUCCCCACUCAGCUCUGCAACCUAGGGGGGCUCCCAGGUCCCUGCAUGAAAGGAAGGGGUUGCAGAAAUGCAAAUGCAACCAUGGAUGCUACCAGCAGAUGUAGCAUUGCACGAACACCACCAGCACACAGCUUUUGCAGCAGACCUGCCUCCAUCAGGGAAAACACUUCAGAGGAAAAGGAGAAUUCCAGAAGGUCACAGAAUUAGAAAUUGCUGUUUGUUAAUAAGUAUGCAACGGUAUCUGGAGGCUAAUCUAUGUGCUGCCGCUGAAGGAUGGUGCCCCUGCUGUGCCUCACUUCUUGCUGGCACACAGAACGUUGCAGGGGUUCAACUGCAGCAGAGAGGACACCGAGCUGCCCGCCUGCACUGCCCCAUGCAGGCUCCACCACACUGCAGCUGCUCAGACUGCUUCCACUCUUCCCUUCUCUCCCUUUACCUUCUUAAGUCCUCUGCAACUCCAGUAGGAGUUUGGUGGGGACAACACAGCUGCCACAGCUGACUCCCAGCAGAAUCAGCGUUUCACAGUACUGCUGGCUCUGUGUGGAAGGGCAUCUCAGCACAGGGGCAAUUCUCACCUAUGGUGGUCUCCCCCCUCCCUUCUUUAGACCUGGCUGAACAUGGAGGGGGGCAGAGCAGUCUGGUGCUCAGAAAAGGUGCUGUGGGUGCUCUGAGCACCUCUGGUGUUAUCUCAGCUGCUCUUCAGGAAAACUGGCACUGGCUUGUGCAGCAUGUGCAGUGAGGGCUGGCAGAAAGGAGCUGUGAAGCCAUUAGGGGUUACCUUCCCAGAGGACAUAGCCCACACUGGGGGAUACCAAGGAGGUUAUUGAAUGUCCCUCUUGUCCCCAAGCCCCACAGUGUGAGUGCUGCUGGUUUAGCUCAGCACUGGGCUGGCCCCAAGGCUGACCUCAUGCUGCUGUGCAGCUCUGAAGCUGCCUCAAGGAGAGGGUGAGGAUCUCCCAGGAUCUGUCUGGCCACCUGGCAGCAGCAGCUCAGGCAUCUCCUCUCCCAGGGCUGCAACAUGCUUCCACUGACCUUGGCAGCCCAAGGAAUGCCUCUGCCUCAGCGAAUCCCCCGCACCUUCACAUCCCUCUACCAACAGCACUGUGGGGUGCCGGUGCCAGAACAACCCUCACACUUUCAAACAAGUCUGCAGAGGCGGACUAGGCUGGCUCCAUGGCAGUGGAGUUAUCCCCAGAGAGGCAGUGUUUCCACGAGGACCAGAGGGAAACACUCAUGUUACAACGCAGGAGUAACGUCCUCAUACCUGAGGCCAACUCUGCCUUCAGAAGGGAGAUGGAGAGUCUCAGUGUCCCAGGGUGCAGUGUCUCAUGGAUGUCACAGCUCCUUCAGUGAGCAGCCGGUCCUGCAGCUCCAAGGAGGAGGCCGUUCCCCCUCUGACACACACAAGAAGGCCAAGAACCGCCGCAUCUGGGCUGGCACGUCCAAGGACUACCAGGUCCUACUGCUGAACAGCCCAAGCCUUCCAGGAUUGUCUAGUCCUUGUCUUUGAGGUCUUAAGUUGGGAGAUGUUUGGGGGCUAACCCAGGGUGUGAUAACAGCAAGGACAAUAGAAGAAGUAAAAGUGGAGGGGAGAAGACUUCAGGCACCCAACAGCUCCCCAGAGCAACGUCCUGGACCCCAGGGCCAGCGCCUCAGACCAGCCCUUUGAUGAAGCUUGUGUCUAAGUGCACUAUCAGCAUGCGGAGGAAGGACAUUUCCUUGCGCGUAUUCUCAAAGAUAAUGCGAGGGUCGUCGGACUGACAGCGCAGGCAGUUGGGGGCCAUCACCAUGGCCAGGUUGUUCACAUCCAUCUUUGUCCUGCCCACAUUUGACGGCUGAGCAAAGAUCUGCAGGAAGUGUAUGAGGUAACACAGCACCAGUUUGUUGAGCUCUGGCAAAAGCUGCACCACGGCCACAGCGGCGUCAGGGUUCUCAUAGUUGCUGAUACACUCUUUGUAGAACUCCUGGGGGAUCACGGGCUCCUCCAGCUCCCGAUACCAUAGCUUGAGGAGAGAGGCUGGGCAGAAAGCAGGGUGCAUGAGAACAGCUCUGGUUACCUUCCCACCACGUUCAUAGCCGAACUAGACAGGCAGAUGGAACGCCUCAGGAACCAGAAGGCAGAUAAAGGAUUCUGAACUUGUGCUGCUUCACUUUAGAGGGCAACUCAGAGAUGCUGGCAGCAAAACCGCUGCUGCUGCCCGGCUCCCAGCUGCCCUGCACGCUGCCUGGCUCGUGCAGCCUCACUCCGACGGAUCCUCCACCACCCCCCGUGCUUUCCCAUGGACAGCACUUGGAAUAGCAGCAGAAAGGCACAGAACAAAAAGCCAGUUGGUGAAGACAGCUCGCAGAGUACAGUGGUGUGUAUGUGUCCCCAAACAGCAGCAUGCAUCCCGGGCUGCUCCUACACCUUCUCCUCUGCCCUGUACCAUGGCUGGGGCUGCACAUGCGUGCAGCAUCCCCUUACCUGGGAUGUUGGGGUCACUGAGGCCACUUGGGAUUCUCCACUGAUCCACCUGCAACUUCAAUGCAUUGACUUCAUCUAUGUCACCGGGUAUCCUGCAAGCAAAGGCACAGCAAAAACGCUUCAGAAGGCAAAUGGUGCUUGGCAACGUUCCUGGCAUGGUGGCUGGCCAGCAAACUGAGCCUCCAAAAGUGCAAAGGGAGCACACACCAGCAGCAGCUACAGAAGCAGCCCGUCAGAAAGAAUGCUUUUAGACACAGCUUUAAAUUGCAGGUAGAAGAAUCACCUGUCUCCUUCCCACUAGCUCAGACACGGGCUGUAACUGGCCCCCCAGCAGCACAUUCAGCCCAGGGAUAAAAGCAUCUCUGGCUAAAUAUACCAAGAUAUCAGAAACUACUGCAAGGCAAAGUUGAGUCUUUUGUGAGUUACCAUAAAUUAAAUUUAGUAACUGAAAAAUAAAUGCAAGUCUUAAAACAACCAAACUCAGGGCCCUGUGUUCAUCAUACAGAUCCCCUGUCUCUCUGGAAUGCUCAUGUGCUCACCCACAGCACAACAUCCUGAGUGUGCAUCAUCAAGGCUGAAGUGCUGCAUUUGAUGAACGGCUUUUAUCUGACAGUUUCUGUCAUCCUUUUAUAAUUGCUUUCAGUCACUGGAGAGUACUGAUUGGCUCUGGUCUGCCUUUCAGCAUGACCUGCUCAGGGAAAUCCCACAUGUGGUAAUUAUCUGCAACUUCUCAAGUGUUAAUUACCCACUGAAAGCAGGAGAAAAGCAGCAAACCUACAAGUAGGGCACUGUAUUAAGGUCAAUGCAAGCUACUCUCUAGAAAAGCCCCAUUCUGCAGCCUGCCUCCUGCGAGGGACGCUGCAGUCACAGCAGUGCGGUGCUGCGCUGUGCUUUGGCCCCUGUCUGGUGCUGUCCUUCCCGGUCAGUUCAGACUUCCACCUUCCAGGCAACCCCUUCCUCCCCAGGGAGCACACCCAGCACCACAGGAACACACGGGGCUCACGGGGGAACAGACCUCCUCCAGGAGAGGCGUGGGAAGCUCACACACCACGGCUGCAGAUGCAGCUCCGCCAGCAGCCCCAGCUCGUCCCCUCCCUGCACUGGCUGCUACUGCUGUUUAAGUUGACAGAAAUUCAGUGCUGUGCUGUCACAAGCUCAGAUCACACCCAGGGUCUCCCUUGUGACAGUGCAUACAAGCGGACUGAUGCUGCUUGACCACCCCGAGCCUGGGAAAGUUUGCUGCUGCCUGCUUGGCAGCGCGCUCUCCUCAGGGAAGGGGAACCCCGCGGGGGCCAAUCGUCAUUUCUCAGCUUUCAGGACUGGUGCGGGGGUGGAUCAAAAGCGACACGGAGCCCCACAAGCUCACCUGAAGAUCCCUUCCGUCUGUUCUCCUCCCAGCGCCAGCACCUGCUGCGAGAGCUGCGUCUGCACCCAGGGCAGCCUGUGGCCCGGGUACAUGUCCUGCUGCCGCAGCAUGAUCUCCUCCAGAGAGCUGCCAAACAGCGACGGCGUCACGAUGGCGUUCCGGGCGUGUGUGAUCUCCUCCACUGUAGGCUUGCGGAGGCCCUGGGGACAGAGGAGAGCUGAGCACAGCCGCGGGCCGAGGGCCGCUCGUGUGUGCGCCACCUCUGGGAGCGCCCCCAGCAGCCCUGGCUCUGCACGUGCUAUAAUGGGACGGGAGUCAACGCGUUCAGCUCAAAACGAGCAAAAAGGUGCUGCCUGCUAGCGGGGGGCGGCUUUGGAGAGUUUGGGGUGGUGGUGUACGGGUUUGCAUGCGGGAGCAAAGCCAGCGCGGCGGGGAGGAGGGCGCAGGGCCCAGGCUGCGGAUGGGCUGCAGCCAGGCCAGCAGAGGGCAUGCGAACACCGGCCCGGCUCCGGAGAGCGCCUGGCCGCAGGACAGCCGGAAAACAGCCCUGCGAGAGGAGAAUUCCAGGUAUGUUCAAGCCCAGGGCCCGACCACCCUCAGAGGUGUUAAAGGGCUCUGAGAAGCGCACACAAGAGAGCAUCCAGAAGCUGUUCCUACUGAAGGACACCUUGGAAGCAGCCGUCGAUGCUCCCCGGGAACUCCCGCUGAGCCCAUGGAGAGCAGAAGCCAUUGGGGCAUAAAUGUGACCGCACAUCUCCUGCUCUGCCCCGCGGGGACAAUGGCAGCGUCACCCCUCCCGAGGCAUCUCCACUGUCUGCUCGCUGUACACGGAGUCCAGAUGGCAAGGACGCCCCCGAGGGAUUUGCAGAAAUAAAAGACAACCGGAUCUGGCUCGGAGACCUGGGAUGGACGGGCUGGGGCUGCAUGCCAGCAUUCACAGCUCCAUGCAGAGGAAAAGGGGGGGGGGGGGGGGGUAUUUCCAGAGCAUGGAGGCCCUGCUCUGCACCAGGCAUCUCUAUUGCGUGACAUCUUGAGCUGGAAAUGGACGACUCUACAGUAAAGCAGCUACAAGAGCAGGCCCACGCAAGCUCUCAGUGUGAAAAUGGAGAUUCCCCAGUGAUGGGCAUCCCCUGCAGACAGCUCCUAUCACCCUGGAGACCGGCAGCCAUCAGCUUUGUCCUCCAGGUCCCCAAGGCUGCCAGCACAGCAACGGCGUGUUCUCCCACACAUCCACGGGGAGAUGAGCCAUGAGCCAUGAGCCAUGAGCCAGCCUCCUCCGCUCUAUCUCCAUUUUCCAUCACUGAAUCAGCAGUGGCCUCUGAGUGUCACAGAGCUGACGCCUCCGGGACCUGGAAAGCAGAGCACUGCAAGGCAGUCUGAGCCCCCGGCGCCGGCACAGCCGCUCACCUUCUUGCCUCCGGUGACGGCCACCUUCUGGAGUUUGCGGUAGCAGUAUUUGGCGUACAUGCUGAUGGGCAGACCUGGCAGGAAGGAGAAAGGAGCCGUCAGCCCGCAGCGCCGUGCAGAGCACCAGCACAGCAGUUUGCACUGACACAAACAUCCACCCCCGUUCCGUGCAGCCUGUUCUGCAGGCAGGGCAGAGGCUGCUGAAACCUCCCAUGGAGCACACCGAGCCCUCCCGGCCCUGGAGCCCCACAGCAGGCAGUGUCGUGCAAGUCGGUGCUUGGGCUCUGGGAUCUGACCUGUGACUCAAGGCUCGCAGCUCUGCGCCUCGCAGCCCUGCACACACACAGUCUGACCCCUGACUCAGCGCCCAGCACGGGCACACAUGUGAGCAUGAGUCCCCAUUCCCCGCUGCACGGCCGGAGCUGCGGGGCUCACAGGCACAGGGCUGGGAAUCCAACUGCCGCUUGAGCUCCACAGCGAGCACGCAGAGCCAGCCUCUUGCCAGGAAAGAUUUCAAGUGUUUUAAACAAAUUGUUUAUGAUUCGAACGCUGGGACAGUGAGAGAGGCGGCGGCGUGCCAGGGCCAGAGAGCUGGCAUCAGCACCGAGCCUGAAUGAAGGCAGCGCGGGGAGGUGCAGGAAUGCACAGGGUUCUCUCUCAGCUUCCCAAGGGCCUGCAGGAAGCUUCCCUCCUCUCCCGGCUGCAGCCUCCUCCAGUGCAGCCUUCAAACAUAAGACUGAGGUGUGCCCUGUGAGGCAAACCUGGGGCACCGGAGCCCGGCAGUGUCACUGUGAGAGCUGUAGCUGCAGAAAGGGCUGUCCUUGUGCUCGGUUCAGCUCCGAGGGCAGCAGAGCCAGGAUUCACAGAGCUAAUCCCCCUGUGACACCAAGAGAAAUAUUUGCACUGACAGAGCAACUGAUUGCUGGGAGAGUUUUUCCAAAACUGUUGGCCUUUUGUUCUUUUCCGAGUCAACCCCAAAUUGCUUGCUGAAAGCACUGAAUAGAUCUGCCCUAUUUGAUUCCCUGCCAGGCUUAAAGCUUGCAACAGAGUUCAAAAUAUUUGUGGCUUUUAAAAUCUACAUUCUGGUCAGAUGCUGCAUGUUUCAGAUCAGCCUUUCAAGAGCUCCAUAGCUUAGGUAAGCUGGUCGGGAUCCUGGAGUUCCUCAAAUGCUCUCGAUGCAGGAAGAGGACAAAAGCUUCCCCAGCGGAGCAACACGUCCCUUUGGGCCGAAGGAGACACACCAGCAUCCUGCAGGCACGUCCAGGCGAAGCUCACUUUCUGCUUUCCCAGAAACUCCAAGGGAAAGGCCUGAACCCCAGCUGGCACUGCCUGCAGUGCGUGCCCUGCUCCAGCCACACUCACACUGCACCCACCAGGCCCUGCAGCCACACCCCUGCCCAUCCCCAUCCCCAUCCCCAUCCCCAUCCCCAUCCCCAUCCCCAUCCCCAUCCCCAUCCCCAUCCCCAUCCCCAUCCUCACUCCCAUCCCCAGCCAAUGGCUGCAGCCAGGACAGGUGGCCUUGGCCUGGCAGGGCUGCCAUGGGGUUAUUCCACUUGUGUGAGCGCAGGGCGGGCCGAUGGAAUCCAGGCUGAGCCGCUAUUUCCUGCAGCCCUGCAGCAGCCCCGCGAGCUCAGGAACAGAAGACUCCUCACAACCCACACAGUGAAAAACAGUUUGCAAAGGAAAACAUUUUCCAUGUGCUGGCCUAAAAACACACGCAGAGAGCGUCUUGAAGAACCUCUCCUUUUAUAACCAGCUAAAACCCAUGCGAGGCACAUGGGGGAACAUACCUUCUGGAGCACAUUCUCCUGCCAAAAAAUGUCUUAAAAACGCAGCAAACAGCGCGGAUUGGGAGCCCAGCCCUGGACACGUACUUUCACACGGCAGAAGCUUUGUGUCUGUGUGCCCAGCACCGCACCCUCACCAGACCCUUCUGCACCUUCAGUUUCACAGCCCUGCAGACCCCGUGCCAGCACCAAACUGGCAGCUCAUUAUCUGUCUCUUUGUACAGCUCAGAGCGAAGGCCGGCAAACAUUCCUGCGGGAUCAGGAGACAAUCGUCCCUGUGAAAGCAGAGCAUUUACUUCUACUCAUUCUUCUGCCUUUCAAUGGGUUACUGAGCCGUGAAAGGAUCUUGUGCCACCUCCAUGCCUCAUCUACCCACAGAGAACGAGGCUGGAAGACGAAGACUGCAUAGCCUGCAGCUUCGGGAACCUCACAGGAAGGCAGAUGGGGCUGAUGGAGCAGACAGAGGAACAGCACGGACAGCCCGGCACCUCCAGCAGGACUGCACUGGCUGAGCUGCAGCUCUUUGGAGUCCUGAGAUCGGACUCCAGAAGGAACCUUCCCAUUGCUGCCAUUUGUGCAACGCCACUCCAAGCGGCUGUCCAGCCCUGCCCUGCGUGCCUCCCGUGCUGCACUUUGCACCCUGUGCCUGUGGGCAGCAGGUCAGUAUCCUAAAACCUCACUGUACUCCCAGAGCGGGUCUUUGUUUGCAACGAAGCGUGCAGAGUCCUGUGAAGGGAGCAGCACAUGGCCUGUCUGUCAUCAGAGCCCCACUGAAGGCCACAAAAGCAUUUCUGAUGUUCUGGUGCUUCUUCCUGCAAACUUAAUAAAGCUUCCUUG